rnacentral:sRNA from 1 species
AAUCUGUAAAUACUAAAUCGCACACGUGUCGGCACAUGCCUCGGGGUGCUUCCGGUCAAAGGCCGGGGGUCGAGUUCAUGGGACGCGUGGAGGUCAAAC